ensembl:snRNA U6 U6 spliceosomal RNA
GCGCUUCGGCAGCACAUAUGCUAAAAUUGGAACGAUACAGAGAAGACUGGCACGGCCCCACAUAAAGAUGACACACAAAUUCAUGAAGUGUUCCAUAUUUUU